GUCCACGCCGUAAACGAUGGGUACUAGGCGUCGGGGGGAGCGACCCUCUCGGUGCCGUCGCUAACGCAGUAAGUACCCCGCCUGGGGAGUACGGUCGCAAGACUGAAACUCAAAGGAAUUGACGGGGGCCCGCACAAGCGGUGGAGCAUGUGGUUUAAUUCGAAGCAACGCGAAGAACCUUACCUGGGCUUGACAUGCACGGGAAAGCCGGUGGAAACAUCGGCCCCUCUUCGGAGUCCGUGCACAGGUGCUGCAUGGCUGUCGU
rnacentral:rRNA from 1 species